GGGCCCGCACAAGUGGUGGAGCAUGUGGUUUAAUUCGAUGAUACGCGAGGAACCUUACCAGGGCUUAAAUGUAGAUUGCAUUAGCUAGAGAUAGCUAUUUCUUCGGACUAUCUACAAGGUGCUGCAUGGUUGUCGUCAGCUCGUGCCGUGAGGUGUCAGGUUAAGUCCUAUAACGAGCGCAACCCCUAUCGUUAGUUGCCAGCGGGUAAUGCCGGGAACUCUAAUGAGACUGCCAGCGCAAGCUGUGAGGAAGGUGGGGAUGACGUCAAAUCAUCACGGCCCUUACGUCCUGGGCUACACACGUACUACAAUGCUACGGACAAAGGGCUGCAAGUUCGCGAGGACAAGCAAAUCCCAUAAACCGUGGCUCAGUUCAGAUCGUAGGCUGCAACUCGCCUACGUGAAGGCGGAAUCGCUAGUAAUCG
rnacentral:rRNA from 1 species